UACUUAACUCUGCUUUUGUUUCUUUAAAAUCUAUUACUGACUUCUUCAUUCAUUUCCCUCAAACAAAAUAACAAUGGAAAUGGGUUUUCAGUUAGCGCUUUACUUCAUCCUCCUACUCCUCUUCCUGUUCCUGUUAUGCCCACUAUUACAAGCGGCAAAACUUCAAGAACCUGCCUGUGGAGAAGAAGUAUGUGGAAAUAUUACAAUUCCAUCCCCUUUUGGAAUCCGUCACAGCUGCUAUGCGAAACCUUCGUUUAGAGUAACUUGCAACGAAACCCUCAAUGGGGAAAAGCCUUUCAUAAACGUAAAUGACAUCGAUCUGGAGGUACUUGGUUCCUUAUUUUCGAACUCCAUUCUAAUCAGCUAUCCAGUUACUUACAUUAGUUGUGAUCAUAUAAACAAGGCUAGAGUGAGUGUGAACCUCUCAGGCACUCCAUUUUUCUUCUCAAGAGACAUGAAUUAUUUCGGGUCAGUAGGUUGCGAAAAUUUGGCUACUAUUUUAAGUAACGGAACUGAUUCACUCGGCGGCUGCAUUCAACCGAGGUGUGACGAUGGUGCUUCUGAAUCUGGCUGCUUUACGGAAAUUACUGGAAAUCUCACUUCCUAUACCGUAACCAUGACAGCCAUGUAUCCUGACAGCAACAGAUGCGCAUCUGCUUUCAUCUUUAGCAUGUACUAUUUCCGUAGUGUUUACCCAUUGCCCACUGGCAUCAGUAUUAAAACCACGCAUGUCCCCGCCGUGCUCAACUGGGAUCCCACCUAUUGCGGUGGCGCAGGAUGCGUAAGACUAGGACGUAUCAAGUUCCACACCUAUGAGGUAGAGUCUUGUGGGAAUGUUACUUUUCACUACCCUUUUAGAAUAGGCCAAGAUGAUCCCAAUGACGAUUGGUUUGAAGUAAUUUGCACCAACAACACCAAUGGAGAAAAAGUGCCUUUAUUAAACAUAAAUGGCAUGAAUCUGCAAAUACUAAGCUUUAAUUUUUUAAGGGGCACCAUCACGGUCAACCAUCCAAUAGUUUACUUCAACUGUCGAAAAGACCGCCGCAAUGGGAUGAGUCUCAACCUAACAGGCACCCGCUUUUACUACUCAGAUAUUGAGAACUACUUUUGGUCUUCAGGUUGUGAUAAUUUGGUUACUGUUUUCGGCAACAAAACAGAUAAUCUUAUAGGCGGAUGUUUGCAACCAAGUUGUAAGAUUAAUGAUGAGACUUCCUCUGUUGAUGGUUGUAUUGUUAAUAUUCCUCAGGGUCUUAGUUCAUUCUACGUAAACAUGAGUAGUAAGCUUGAUUUUAGUGAUUAUAGGAGGAAAAGAUCAUGUGAAUUUGCUUCCAUGAUUUCUUAUGACUAUGAUCUGACGUUUAAUGUAAGUAAUACGACGCAAGUCCCAACGCAACUGCAAUGGGGUACACCAAUAUUUGGAGAAUGCUAUUUGAAUGAUAGUUCGGACACUUCUUGUACAUAUGAUGGUAAAUAUUGCUGGUCGAGGUUGAGCUCUAAUCAUCUAUGUGUGUGCUACAGGGUUAUCAACAUCGGUUAUUCAACAUUAUGCACAGAUAGGGAAUGUCAGAAUUAUAAGUAUUGCCGCAUUCUUUGUUUGACUACCCCUAGCUACUAUUGCUCGUCGAAGUCUUGCCCUCCUCAUUAUGAAUACAAUAGUACGGGAUUUCGUUGCGAGCGCAAAAUACAGACUCAAAACACUCACAGCUUGACAAGUAUUAUUGUAGGUUGCAGCACUAGUAUUGGGACACUAUUUCUGCUACUCGCAACAUGGAGUAUGUACAAAGUCCUCAAAAGAAAACAAAAAAUCAUGCUGAAGCAGAAAUACUUCAAAAGGAAUGGAGGUUUGUUACUGCAACAACAUUUGUCUAGCAAUGAAGGUAAUGUUGAAAAAAUUAAGUUAUUUACUUCGAAAGAGAUGGAAAAGGCGACUGAUCAUUAUAAUGAGAAUCGAAUCCUUGGUCAAGGAGGUCAAGGGACUGUUUAUAAAGGAAUGCUAAUAGAUGGAAGCAUUGUGGCCAUUAAGAAGUCCAAAAUGGUGGAAGGAAAGAAAUCUGAUCAAAAGAAGGUUGAACAGUUCAUUAACGAGGUGAUAAUUUUAUCUCAAAUUAAUCACAGGAACGUGGUUAAGCUUUUAGGGUGUUGUUUAGAGGCUGAAGUUCCUCUAUUGGUGUAUGAGUUCAUCCCAAAUGGUACAUUAUACGAUCUCAUUCGUAACCAAAAUGAAGAAUUACCAUUGACAUGGGAAAUGCGUUUACGAAUUGCGAUCGAAAUUGCCAAUGCCUUGUUCUAUUUGCAUUCAGCUGCUUCUACUCCUAUUUAUCAUCGAGACAUCAAAUCUAGUAACAUACUUUUGGAUGAUAAAUAUAGGGCAAAAGUAUCAGAUUUUGGAACUUCAAAAUCACUUGCACUUGAACAAACACAUCUAACCACUCGGGUGCAAGGAACUUUUGGAUACAUGGAUCCCGAAUAUUUUCGAUCAAGUCAAUUUACAGAGAAAAGUGAUGUUUAUAGCUAUGGAGUUGUUCUUAUUGAGCUUUUAACAGGACAAAAACCCAUCUCUGCAAACCAAUCAGAGCCAGUGAGAAGCUUGGUAUCUUUUUUUUUGCAUUCAAUACAGGAGAAUUCCUUAUUUAAAAUUAUCGAUCCAAUGGUCGUAAAGGAUGGUCUAGAACAGGAGAUUAUGGUUGUGGCUCUGCUAGCAAAAAGAUGCUUGAAUCUUAAUGGAAAGAAAAGACCCACCAUGAAACAAGUAGCAAUGGAGCUGGAGAUGAUUAAAGCUUCAGGUGCAACUAUUACUGAAGACUGUGGUGAUGAAGAAUCUGAAAUAGAUGACAUGAUCCAUUCAUGGGAUACCAAUCCUAGUAGUUCAAUGUCUAGGACAAUUCCAACAGACAGUGUAACUUUUCCGUUGAACUCAUCUUUCUAGUUUCCAACACUCCUGAGACAAUUUAUCUUGAUUGAUAGCCUUUAGCUUUUGUAAUUGUCACACUGGUGGAGUCUUGUGGUUGGCCAAGAAUUCAUACUUGUUUCACUCAAUGUUAUUUUAUCUCUUGAAGUCUUACAAGGUAUCAGAUGUAAGUCUUUCCUGGCAUUUUUUUGGUUAAUCCGCUGUGCAUCUAGUCAAUAUGACCUCCAAUUCUUCUGACAGAGCUCUUGACAGUCGAUUCUUCUCUACAAAGAGAAUUAGUGUUCUUCUUGACGAUAAUACCUAUCUGCUGUGGCGUCAGCAGGUUCUCUUGGCUGUGAAAGCGCAUAAACUAUAAAGCUUCUUGGAUCCUCAAAAAGAUCCUCUUACUCAGUUUCUUGCUGAUGGUAAUGGUGGUUUGCAUGAGAAUCCAGAGUUUGCACUUUUCGAACAACAGGAUAGUGCACUUUCGUCGUGGUUGCUAUCCUCUAUCAGUCAAAUGGUGCUCCCCCAUCUUAUUGGUAUGGAUACCAGUGCAAAGAUUUGGAAUGCAGUUGUUACCUUGUUUGGUAGUAAAAUAACUUCAAAACUGAUGGCCUAUCGAAGAGCUUUUCAUUCUCAAUGUAAAGGUGAAUUGAGCAUGAAAGAGUUCUUGAUGAAGGUUAAAAGUUCCUGUGACAAUCUCGCUAGUUACGGUGAAGUCAUUGGUGAGCAUGAGCAUGUUAUUGGUGAGCAUGAGCAUGUUACGGUGAAGUCAUUGUUACAGCAAGUCAGGUGCCUUACACAGUACAAGGUGUAACUUCCAUUCUUCUUGAUACUGAAGCUAGACAGCAGGUCGUGAGCAAUGAAGUCUCUAGUUUUGCAAACUUGGUGUCAUAUGAUUCUUCCAAUGCUUCUGGUUCAUUACCUGCUUAUCGACCGUCAUCUACAGCUCGGGGACGUUGGCGAGGGAGUUUGUCAAGUUCAAGGCUUCAAUGUCAACUUUGUGGGAAAGUUGGUUAUCUUGUUGACCGUUGUUACUAUCGCUUUGACUCUUCCUACAAUAUUAGCAACUACGACCUCCCCCACAAGCAAAUGUGUGCAUGGUUGGUUCUACUUCUCCUACACCUUGGUUUCCCUCUCCUCAACAAAAUCCUCAGUGGUGUUCCCUAGGUCCCCCAGGUUGGUGUUUUUCCACUCAUCCCUCACCUAUUUGGUCUAACCCGUUUGUUGGUAGUCCUCAGCAACAGGUUAGUAUGUCACAACAAGUCAGUAUGCCCUCCUCUGGUGUAGUACACCCUUAGGCAUAUGUAGCAACUCAUGAAACAGUAGCUGAUAACGCAUGGUAUCCGGAUUCUCGUGUCACGCAUCAUCUCACAAAUUCGGCUACCUUGGUUGGUGACAGUUCAUCAUAUAAAGGACUAGUGCUAGGUGCGUAAUUUGAGGACCAGAGAAGUUAUUCUUCAAGGAUCGGUGCAUCAUGGUUUAUAUAGACUACAGCUUAACAAGUCUCCUGCAACUAGUACAUUUUCUCAGAAUGCGCAAUGUUUUACAGCAAGCUCCAGGCUUCUUAUUAGUGUUUGGCACUCUAGAUUAGGCUAUCCAUGUCGAGCUAUGCUUACAAAGGCAAUACUCUGAUGUAAUAUACAGUUUACAGACAGUAAUAAAUUUGUUGAUUGUGCUGCUUGUCAUCUGGGUAAAGAGCGUAAGCUUCUAUUUUUAAAGUCGAGCAUUGAGUAUAUUUCACCCGUACAACUCGUGGUAGCUGAUGUCUGGGGACCC